rnacentral:rRNA from 1 species
AUUGAACGCUGGCGGCAUGCCUUACACAUGCAAGUCGAACGGCAGCGGGGGAGAAGCUUGCUUUUCCUGCCGGCGAGUGGCGAACGGGUGAGUAAUACAUCGGAACGUGCCCUGUAGUGGGGGAUAACUAGUCGAAAGAUUAGCUAAUACCGCAUACGACCUGAGGGUGAAAGUGGGGGACCGCAAGGCCUCAUGCUAUAGGAGCGGCCGAUGUCUGAUUAGCUAGUUGGUGGGGUAAAGGCCCACCAAGGCGACGAUCAGUAGCUGGUCUGUGAGGACGAUCAGCCAAACUGGGACUGAGACACGGCCCAGACUCCUACGGGAGGCAGCAGUGGGGAAUUUUGGACAAUGGGCGAAAGCCUGAUCCAGCAAUGCCGCGUGUGUGAAGAAGGCCUUCGGGUUGUAAAGCACUUUUGUCCGGAAAGAAAUGGCUCUGGUUAAUACCUGGGGUCGAUGACGGUACCGGAAGAAUAAGGACCGGCUAACUACGUGCCAGCCGCCGCGGUAA